rnacentral:rRNA from 1 species
AGAGUUUGAUCCUGGCUCAGAACGAACGCUGGCGGCAUGCCUAACACAUGCAAGUCGAACGAAGCCUUCGGGCUUAGUGGCGCACGGGUGCGUAACGCGUGGGAAUCUGCCCUUAGGUACGGAAUAACUCAGGGAAACUUGUGCUAAUACCGUAUGAUGUCGAGAGACCAAAGAUUUAUCGCCUAGGGAUGAGCCCGCGUAGGAUUAGCUAGUUGGUAAGGUAACGGCUUACCAAGGCUACGAUCUGUAUCCGGUCUAAGAGGACGGUCGGACACACUGACACUGAAUAACGGGUCAGACUCCUACGGGAGGCAGCAGUCGGGAAUUUUGGGCAAUGGGCGAAAGCCUGACCCAGCAACGCCGCGUGAAGGAUGAAGUAUUUCGGUAUGUAAACUUCGAAAGAAUGGGAAGAAUAAAUGACGGUACCAUUUAUAAGCUCCGGCUAACUACGUG